CUGUUGAGGCGGGGCCGUUUAAACGGUUGCCAAUUCUUAUCAUUGUGUUCGACAAGUAAACCAUUGGAACCAAAAGCUUGAAUAUCCAUGCGAAUAGAGUGCCAGAACUGAGUCUUUUGCCAAUCAAACCUGUGGAUAAGGUCUUGAAAUCUGUGACACCAGCCAAGGAUAUCCCGACGCACCCUUACAAUAGCUCCUGUAUUGCAAUGCUCCUUAGUGCAAUUGAAAAUAUAAUAGCUAAUUAGUUGCCUUGGGCCGAGUACCCUGGCCUCCCUUGGAGCCUCCAUGGUGGAGCCAUGGACAAGUGGCCAACGACCAAAAAGAAGAAAGAGCUUUGGAUCCCCUAUUUUUCGAGCCUAUUUCCCAUGAUCUUUUAGUGCUCGAUCCUCGCCGUUGGCCACCCAUGCAUCGCCGCUUACCACCACCCACCAUCAGUCAUGCAUCGCCACCUAUUGCCGAUCCUCUGGUGACUAGCCGCCAACCACCUUCCUCUCUGUUUGGCCAAA
rnacentral:lncRNA from 1 species